rnacentral:rRNA from 1 species
GGAAUAUUGGUCAAUGGGCGCGAGCCUGAACCAGCCAAGUCGCGUGAAGGAUGACGGUCCUAUGGAUUGUAAACUUCUUUUGUGCAGGAAUAAAGUGAGGAACGUGUUCCUUUUUGUAUGUACUGUACGAAUAAGCAUCGGCUAACUCCGUGCCAGCAGCCGCGGUAAUACGGAGGAUGCGAGCGUUAUCCGGAUUUAUUGGGUUUAAAGGGUGCGUAGGCGGGCUGAUAAGUCAGUGGUGAAAGUUUGCAGCUUAACUGUAAAAUUGCCAUUGAAACUGUUAGUCUUGAGUGCAAAUGAGGUAGGCGGAAUGUGUUGUGUAGCGGUGAAAUGCUUAGAUAUAACACAGAACUCCGAUUGCGAAGGCAGCUUACUGGGAUGCAACUGACGCUGAUGCACGAAAGCGUGGGUAUCAAACAGGAUUAGAUACCCUGGUAGUCCACGCAGUAAACGAUGAAUACUAACUGUUUGCGAUAUACAGUAAGCGGUACAGCGAAAGCGUUAAGUAUUCCACCUGGGGAGUACGUUCGCAAGAAUGAAACUCAAAGGAAUUGACGGAAGGGCGAAUU